UAUGUGAUCGUCUCUCGCAUAUCAAUAAGCGGAGGAAAAGAAACUGACAAGGAUUCCCCUAGUAACGGCGAGUGAAGCGGGAAGAGCUCAAAUUUGAAAUCUUAAAGGGUUUCCCUUUACGAAUUGUAGUUUAAAGAAGUGUUUUCUGUUGAGGUUUUGGUAAAAGUUCUUUGGAAUAGGACAUCAUAGAGGGUGAGAAUCCCGUAUUUGACCUUUACUUUCAACUUUGUGAUACACUUUCAAAGAGUCGGAUUGUUUGGGAAUGCAGUCCAAAAUGGGUGGUAAAUUUCAUCUAAAGCUAAAUAUUGGCGAGAGACCGAUAGCGAACAAGUACCGUGAGGGAAAGAUGAAAAGAACUUUGAAAAGAGAGUUAAACAGUACGUGAAAUUGUCAAAAGGGAAGCGUUUGACACCAGUGUUGUUUUUCUGAAAAUCAAUUAAAGAACUGUUUAUGCUAAGUUGUUUAGACUUUAUCAGCUAUCUGUUUAGUUUUGAGCUUUUCUUUAAUGCACCUUUCAGUUAACAAGUCAACAUCAAUUUCUUUUGCUGUAAAAAAGCUUGAGGAAGGUGGCUUGAGAUUCGUCUUAAGUGUUUAUAGCCUCUUGCCUAUGCAGUCGGAGAGAUUGAGGUCUGCAGCGUAGAUCCUUCGGGGCUAAAUGCAUUUGUGCUAAGUUAUAGCAUUUUAUAGACAACUUGUUGACUAUGAUUUGUCUUGUAGCUUACUCGCUUAUGUUAUUUUACCUACGCUUAGGAUGUUGAGUAGCGACAUACGCAC
rnacentral:rRNA from 1 species